UCGUGUCGUGAGAUGUUGGGUUAAGUCCCGCAACGAGCGCAAACCCCUAUUGUUAGUUGCCAUCAUUCAGUUGGGCACUCUAGCGAGACUGCCGGUAAUAAACCGGAGAAGUGGGGAUGACGUCAAAUCAUCAUGCCCCUUAUGACCUGGGCUACACACGUGCUACAAUGGUUGGUACAACGAGUUGCGAGUCGGUGACGGCGAGCUAAUCUCUUAAAGCCAAUCUCAGUUCGGAUUGUAGGCUGCAACUCGCCUACAUGAAGUCGGAAUCGCUAGUAAUCGCGGAUCAGCACGCCGCGGUGAAUACGUUCCCGGGCCUU
rnacentral:rRNA from 1 species